rnacentral:other from 1 species
GCCUCCAGGGGAUAAAGGCACCGCCUGCCUCCUUUUCUGGAUGGACACUCCCUUCUAAUGGUGAAUGGAAACUCCCUUUCUCAGCAGCCUGCUUACAGCGCCCCAGUAGCCCAGUGUGAUUGCAGCGGCUGCCAUCACCCCAGAAAGAAAGGCUCCCACAUCAGAGAC